GGGGCCGUGAGGUAGCCAGGUAGCCUGGCGGGCUCCAGACCCGCUCGCGGGAGUUCAAAUCUCCCCGGCCCCA
rnacentral:tRNA from 2 species